rnacentral:piRNA from 1 species
UCCAGGGGCAGGAGCAACGGGGAGAUCCCACU